GACGGGGGAUGCAAGUGUUAUCCGGAAUCACUGGGCGUAAAGCGUCUGCAGGUGGUUUCCUAAGUCCACUGUUAAACCUUGAGGCUCAACCUCAAAUCUGCAUUGGAAACUAGGAGACUUGAGUAUAGUAGGGGUAGAGGGAAUUUCCAGUGGAGCGGUGAAAUGCGUAGAUAUUGGAAAGAACACCGAUGGCGAAGGCAGCUCUCUGGGACGGUACUGACGCUGAGACGCGAAAGCGUGGGGAGCGAACAGG
rnacentral:rRNA from 1 species